rnacentral:tmRNA from 1 species
GGGGAUGUUACAUAAUCGAUAGUAAGUUCAUUAUAACACCUGCAAAUCGGAGCUCUAGAAUCUCCGUUAUCAAUUCUAGACCAAUCAUAAAUGCCAAAUCAUUUAUGUCUAAAGUAAAGACCGCUUUUGCGUCUCUUUCUUUAGCACCUGCAGUAGCCUAAAACCUACUUGCCAUCCGUUUUACUGAUGCUCGAUAGGUAAAUAACGGGUGCCACAAUUUCGAGAUUACUGAUCUCAGGCAACUCCAACUGGAUCAGGACAUCAAACUUGGAGUCAGAUACUUACGGUUCUGUUUGCUCUAUACGUAAGUAUUUAAAUUUAGAGCAAACUAAAUUUGUAGAAGGUUUUAUGGUUUCUUGCUAGACAGGGGUGAAAAGCCCCUCAUCUCCACCA